CAGUAACAUAUCCCAAAUUCUACUGUCCUAGCUGCUACUAGGAAAACUAGUUAUAAUAUUAUGAGCAUCUGCUUCUUCUUCGUUGGGGUUAGGGACCUCAAUGUCUUGUUCCUUUUCAUUUUUCUUCUUUAAAUUUGUCCCUCCAUCAAUAAAUUCCAAUCCAAUGCCCUAUGCCUAGAACACUUAUGUUCGGUGUUGCCCCAAAAAGUCAGGUUGAUUAGAAGGGAGAGGUUCAGCCAAAAAAACAAAAAAAAUAGAAGGGAGAGGGGCAGCUCUAAAUUUGGGAUUAAAGUUCCAACUCAUAUUAUGAUAUUCACCUUCUGUGAGUUGAUUCCAUGUAAUUUUUCUUAUUUUGUUGUCAUUCAUAGUAUCAUCCAUUAUUUAAAGCUAUAUCCAUGCUCCGCAAUUUUAUAUGGCUAAAACAUCAAAUAUCACUAAACAUUUCUUGAGUCCUUGGCAUAUUGCCUCACUUAAGGCAAUUCAGAGUACAAGACCUAGGGACUUUGUGCACCCUUGUUCGAGCAUACCUUUGACAACUAUGCAUUGCAUACAAGCAGGGGUGGAGCCAUAAUAUUUUUUCAUUGGGGCCAUUCAAUAAGUCGAUUCAUGAUCAUUAGAUAACUAGCAAUUUAUCAUUGGGGCCAAGCAUAUAAUGGAAUAAGAUUCAAGAUGAAUUCCUGAAGCUGAAUUAGAAGUCUUAAAUUUGAUUCCUAAUCUCACUGAUAUUUCAAAUAUUGAAAAAAAUUUAUGACAAAUAAAAUAAACUACAAGUAAAAAAACAAACAAUAUCAUAGAUAUGAAGAUAUAUAUGCACCAUAUGAGGUUGCAAAGUGUCCAAAUUUGAGUCCUUUUGCAUAGUUAAAUCAAAAUAUUAAAUUGAUAUGAACUUUUUCAUUAUUUUUUGAAUAAUUUCACUGGGUCAAUUGAGUGAAAGACUCAACAAAAGUUUUAUGUAGUACCUGUAUGUUUCAUGUUUCCCUAAAACUGAUUGGAGUUGACUCCAAUCAGUGACAAAAAGCCUUGCCCAUGCAUAUGAGGUGCUGUAAGAAAACUUAAAAUAUGAUGGAUUUUAUCUUGGGCAUUAUUUCUUGGAAAAUUUCCAGAUCUCUGUUUUCCAUGACUGAGGUUUUAUGGGAGGCAUUUUUGUAAGGGGCAAGCUUAGUAUUCACAGUCCUUUUAUCUUGAUAGAGAGCGUCCAAAGUACCAAAUAAAGGAUGCAGAAACUCCUAGGAAUGGUCCAAGAACAUUAGGAGAGGCAUCCGAUACUGUGAAGGUGACUA
rnacentral:misc_RNA from 1 species